rnacentral:rRNA from 1 species
UGCGUAGGCGGAUUAAUAAGUCAGUGGUGAAAACCUACAGCUUAACUGUAGAACUGCCAUUGAUACUGUUAGUCUUGAGUACGGUCAAGGUAGGCGGAAUGUGUAAUGUAGCGGUGAAAUGCUUAGAUAUUACACAGAACACCGAUUGCGAAGGCAGCUUACUGGGCCAUUACUGACGCUGAGGCACGAAAGCGUGGGUAGCGAACAGGAUUAGAUACCCUGGUAGUCC